GAGAGUGUGUGUGUGUGUGUGUGUGUGACAGAGAGAGAGAGAGAGAGAGAGAGAGAGAGAGAGAGUGCAUGUAUGUGAGAACUCCUUCCAAUUAAUUCUGAAAUCCAGCAGAGAGUAGACAACACUGCUCUAUUCCACUUCUGCUGCAUGCCAGCUGGACCAGAGGGCUUUAUCCAGAUUUAUCCAGGCUCAAAACCAACAACUGUCCCAAAUACAAUUUAUGGAUAAUUAAUUGGAGUUCUUUCUUGGGACUAUAUGAAGGAAUGAUAAUCAGUACCAAUAAUUUUGGCAGCAGCCAUCCAACAUCUGUCCUAUAGUGGUUGUAAUGGUAAUGGUAUGUUCAUGGCAUUUAUGUCUGUUAUAUGAUGAUCUUGUGAUCAGUAGCCCAAAGUGUUAAGCACAAAGCCAUCACUACCCUCAAUAAAGUGAGCCUUCCAUGCACUUUAAGAUUAACAACAAGAGCUCUGUACGAAUAAAAUGUCUUUCACAUCUGUUUGAUUGCUUGAUUAACAUUUAACAUUUACUGUUAAUGGUUAAAUGACUUAUCAUAGCCUGUGUUAUUAGUAGACCAUCACUUGAGCUGCUGAUUAACUAAUAAGAAGGGCUUCCUAAGAUGUCACUAUACAUUGCUCUGUCAAUUUCCUGCCUCAGCUCUCCUGUAGCUAUACCAUUUUUGGUUAAAAAUAAAUAUAAUUAAAGGAGCAAUACUCGAUUUUUUUUCUUACUAAUAAUAGGAAAAUGUAUAGAAUGUGAUAAAAAUGAUUUAAGCAGGUUUAAGCAUGAGGUUUAAGUAAUGACCUCAGGAGAAAAAUAUUAUAUGUCUGAAAAAAACUCCUUUGGAAAACACUCUUACGCUCCAGAAAGUAUGUUUAUGUGUACAUGGCCAUCCUGUCAGUCAUUUUAUAGCCACUCCUUCACAUCCUUUCACUCUACAUCCUGCUAACAUAUUUAUACUGCAGCGUACUGUAGCACUCGUAAGAGCUUAUUAUAAAGAAGUUUUUGGUUAAUGCGUAUGAUAAACAUUAUUGUUAAGGUACUUUGUUCGAUGUUUUCCAAUUGCAGUAAGAAAAUUGUUGUACUGCAACAGCAGCAGAAAUGGAUGUGUUGUAGUUUUUUGGGCAAUUAUAUUCACAUACACGCAAUUUGUCACAUGUAUUCAUCAAAUCCUGCUGGUGCGGGUAUAUGCAAGUCACAUGCGCAUACGCACACACACACUUACACACGCACACAUACACUUACACACACACACGAACACGUGAAACAUUCACUUCUCACUAUUCAUUGGAGGGGACACAAUCUUCGGAUAGCACAGUUUCUGGUUAGUCGUUGAUUGAGGGAGCAUAAGCCAUACAGCAGCACUCACUUCUGUCUGCAGAUGUUUAACUGACUGAGAGGAUUGUGUGCUGCACUGCAGUAGAUUGGGCUUAGCCAGGGUCACAGUGCAGAAAUGGCUGCUGGUUUACGACAGACACAUUGUUUAAUGGAAGUUUCUCUAUGGCAGGCUGGGAGGGACAGGCGAAGGUGGCCAAUUUCCCCAUGGGCUGAACUGCUGAGCCUCUGCACUUCCUAAGCACUUAAGACUCUAAAACUUUUAGCCUACAGACCUGAUCACACACCAUGUAAAAACACCCCAAUAUUGAACAACCCCAAAUCUGUCUCUCAGAACAGCAUUGCAAGAGUUCCACUCUGGCAAACUGAAUUGUAUUCAAACUGAUAUGCAAAAAGCGAUGUCCAACUGUAAUAGGAUGAAAUAAAGAUUCUGUCAAGUAUGAAUGGCUCUCUUGUAUCGCGAAUCAUGAAGCAGGACUCUCAUCAUGCAUGAAAUAUCCUGCUCACAUCAUUAAUGGUAAUAGGACAGCAAGGAACCAAUCUCAUUCAAAGCCAUAAUGUGGAAGAGAGAUGGAACAAGCUACAUAUAAUGUGAUGUAUGGCUUCCCACAAAGCUGA
ensembl:lncRNA